rnacentral:sRNA from 13 species
GCUGGGCAUGGUGGCGCGUGCCUGUAAUCCCAGCUACUCAGGAGGCUGAGGCAGGAGAAUUGCCUGAACCCAUGAGGUGGAGGUUGCGGUGAGCUGAGAUCGUGCCAUUGCACUCCAGCCUGGGUAACAAGAGUGAAACUCUGUCUCAAAAAAAAAAAAAAAAAGAUGUGCAGUAGAGAAACCUGUUUUGUUUUUUAAGACGGAGUCUCGCUCUGUCACCAGGCUGGAGUGCAGCGAUGCAGUCUCGGUUUACUGCAACCUCCGCCUCCUGAGUUCUAGCGAUUCUUCUGCCUCCG